UACAGAGGGGGCAAGCGUUAUUCGGAAUUAUUGGGCGUAAAGGGCGCGUAGGCGGCCUGGCAAGUGGAUGGUGAAAUCCCUCGGCUUAACCGAGGAACUGCCAUCCAGACUGCUUGGCUUGAGACCGGGAGAGGUGAGUGGAAUUCCCCAGUGUAGCGGUGAAAAUGCGUAGAUAUUGGGAGGAACACCAGUGGCGAAAGGC
rnacentral:rRNA from 1 species